AGUAACGGCGAGUGAAGCGGCAAUAGCUCAAAUUUGAAAGCUGGCCCCUUCGGGGUCCGCGUUGUAAUUUGUAGAGGAUGAUUCGGCGAGGGCUCCCGUCUAAGUCCCUUGGAACAGGGCGUCAUAGAGGGUGAGAAUCCCGUAUGUGAUGGGCUGCCUUAGCCAUGUGAAUCUCCUUCGACGAGUCGAGUUGUUUGGGAAUGCAGCUCUAAAUGGGAGGUAAAUUUCUUCUAAAGCUAAAUACCGGCCAGAGACCGAUAGCGCACAAGUAGAGUGAUCGAAAGAUGAAAAGCACUUUGGAAAGAGAGUUAAAAAGUACGUGAAAUUGUUGAAAGGGAAGCGCUUGCAGCCAGACUUGUCCGCAGUUGCUCAGCUUGUCUCCUGACAGGCGUACUCUUCUGCGGCCAGGCCAGCAUCAGUUCGGGCGGUCGGAUAAAGGCCCGGGGAAUGUAGCUCCUCUCGGGGAGUGUUAUAGCCCCGGGUGCAAUGCGGCCAGCCUGGACUGAGGAUCUCGCUUCGGCUAGGAUGCUGGCGUAAUGGCUGUAAGCGGCCCGUCUUGAAACACGGACCAAGGAGUCUAACAUCUAUGCGAGUGUUUGGGUGUCAAACCCAUGCGCGUAAUGAAAGUGAACGGAGGUGGGAACCCUCACGGGUGCACCAUCGACCGAUCCUGAUGUCUUCGGAUGGAUUUGAGUAAGAGCAUAGCUGUUGGGACCCGAAAGAUGGUGAACUAUGCCUGAAUAGGGUGAAGCCAGAGGAAACUCUGGUGGAGGCUCGCAGCGGUUCUGACGUGCAAAUCGAUCGUCAAAUUUGGGUAUAGGGGCGAAAGACUAAUCGAACCAUCUAGUAGCUGGUUCCUGCCGAGCU
rnacentral:rRNA from 1 species